GCUUGGUGGCUCACUGGUAGUGCUCUUGCCUGCCACGCUGGAGGCCUGGGUUCAUUUCCGGCUAAUGCU
rnacentral:tRNA from 1 species